AUUGAACGCUGGCGGCAGGCCUAACACAUGCAAGUCGAGCGGAGCGGCGGACGGGUGAGUAAUGCCUAGGAAUCUGCCUGGUAGGUGGGGAUAACGUCCGGAAACGGGCGCUAAUACCGCAUACUAUCAGAUGAGCCUAGGUCGGAUUAGCUAGUUGGUGGGGUAAAGGCCGACAAAGGCGACGAUCCGUAACUGGUCUGAGAGGAUGCUCAGUCAGGCUGGAAAUGAGACACGGUCCAACCUGCGAUGGGAGGCAGCAGUGGGGAAUAUUGGACGAUGGGCUGAGGCCUGAUCCAGACAUGCCGCGUGUGUGAAGAAGGUCUUCGGAUUGUAAAACACUUGUAGUUGGGUGGCGGUACCAGCAGAAUAAGCACCGGCUAACUUCGUGCCAGCAGCCGCGGUAAUAC
rnacentral:rRNA from 1 species